GCCCUGGUGGCUUAAUGGUUAAGUGUUUAGCUACUAACUAAAAGGUUGUCAGUUCAAACCCACCCAGUGGCU
rnacentral:tRNA from 1 species